rnacentral:lncRNA from 1 species
GGACCACGUGGAAAACCAGGACCCAAAGGAGAAAAGGGGGAGCAUGGAAGUAAUGGUCUACCAGGUGUACCAGGAGCAGUGGGAGUGGAUGGACUUCCAGGACUUCCUGGUCAGAAGGGGGAGAAGGGAGAGGAAGGUAUCGGAAUUCAGGGUGUUCAAGGUCCACCUGGGCCAAAAGGAGAAAAGGGUAAUACAGGACUACAAGGCCCAGAGGUAAGUGUGUUGUAUUUAAAAUCAAUGGAGCAGAGUAAAAGACAAUUGUCUUGUGCAAUGUGUAAUUUGCAGUUUCCAUAUUCAUCCAAAGGGCCAAGCAGGAAACCAAGGAGUCCAAGGGAUCACAGGGCCUCGGGUUUGUCAAACUCUACACAACCAUUUAACAUCAAAGUGUUUCGUCUUUCAAUU